AAAGCAGGUCUGCAAUUGCAGCACUCCGUUGCAGUAGAGUGCUGUCAUUAACCCUGCUGAGAGCAUCUUUCUGCUACAGAGCUCUGACUCCUGCUCACUGUGGUGGUGAUUAGGAGGCUCUCUGUAGCCGAACAUUU